UCCGGUGUGGUGUCGUUGGUUAGCAUACAGUCCCAUCCUGCGGGUAGAGCUGCACCCAAGUUCGAUCCUUGGCGCCGGAC